GUUGAGGGGCGCGCACCCCGCCAGGGGAGGGAACAUUCUCUCCGCUUGCGGGACGGAUGGGGAGAGUUGGGUUCUUCCCCGCCCUCCUGCGGAGGGUGCACCUGCGAGGGGCCGUGGGCAACCCCCGCGGUGUCUCGGGGCUUUCUAGACUGCAGCAAAAUGCAGAUGACUCAAUUGGGAAAUCUUUUGCUGCUUAGGAAAGCAAAAUUAUGAGAUCUACAAUUUUAUCACUGCUGCAUACUCUUACUUCAGCUCAGUCUCCAUGUUAUGUGGAGUUGCAGGACACAAGAUGAGUCUGACAUGAUUUUUCUUCUGUCAAAAAUGAAUUUGGGCCCAGAUUCACAAUUCCAGAAUGCUUUCAAAACAUUUAUGGUCAUGAGGCCACAGGAGAGAAGCUAACCCUGAUAUCUCUGGAGAUGGAAUGUCAUUGAUUCUGGGCCUUGUUCCUGUAGCUGUUACGAGUCAAGUCUACUCAAUGAAAAAAGGAGAAGAAUGAGUUUGCUUUUAGCAUUUCAUCUUGGACUUGCUGCAGACAUGUAGCAAUGAGCUAUCUCAAAUAUAAUCGAGGCUAACCAAGAAGUAAUGCCCAGGAGCUGAGCUAUGGAGUAGGAACAUUAUGGCCGUUCCUCAGCGUACAGCAGCUGCUCACCCAGUCUCUGUGCCAUGUAGUAGGAGGUGAAGACGCUUCCACUGACGUUGGCCGUGCAG